GAAUAAUCACUCAACACCAGAUGCAAUGCAACAAAGUAAUUAAUGCUCAGAACUCAGAGCUGGGUAUGAAUCAAGGAUCCUUUACUUAGUAGUUAACUAGAAGACUGGGACUAGUUAAUUUCUCCAGUGCUCAGCUUCUUAUCUACAGGUAUCUGCUGAAUCCUCCAAGGGGAACAGAAUAAGGGGAAGAUCCCUGGAGAUCAGAUUCUCAGAUCCAGUAUCCCGUGUGCUGACCUGCCAUGACAAACACUGGCAGGGAGCCUGCCAUAGAGGAAAAGAGUAAGAAUUGGCUGAGUUCACAUAUGGGCUCCAUCAAUAACUAGCGGCCAGGUGAGAUUAGAAGUUCUAGGAGCUAAUCUUGAAACAGACCAAGCCUGGAGACCCAGUUGCACAGUUCCAGAGAUGGCUUCAAGGUGGCGAAUUAACAACCCGGCCAUUGUUGAGAUGACGUCAGCCUGAUGUCCAGGUGGACUGGGACCCAAGGUGGCCACCAGAACAAGACACGAGGACAUUGUACUCAGCCCAAUUCUUGCAUGCCUUCCUUAUCAAGUUUUCCCUUUUUAAAACCCAUGCCUUCCCACUCAACCACAACUGAAGCAGUUACUUUGGAUAGGAGUCCAGCUGCUUCCCCUUCAAUAGUUUUGGUUAAUAAAGUCACUUUCUUUCUACCAGAGCUUGCUCUUGUUAAUUGAACUCUGCAAAUGGCGAGCACCUGGACCUGCAUUCUGCUACAAUAAUAUGGAGGAGACUUCCGUUAGAUAAAAAUUAUAGGAGACCAUUGUUUUGGACUAAGCUCCUGCACAAGGCCCCAACGGAACUGAUUAAAAAUCAAAAUGGAGUCACGCAUGUUAAAGUUUCGUGUCACCAAACCUAAACUAAGUUUUUGUCUGACCUUUCUAGAAAUCAGGAGAAGGAAAAAUAGCCAAUUGCCCAAACAGGCCCGUUUAAAUCUUUAAUUUUUCUAUUGUUCUGUCUUCUUGUACGUGGUUUUCAAGAAAAAGUAACUUUGAAAAGUAAUGAAUGCACUC
rnacentral:lncRNA from 10 species